AAUUCCCCUUAGAAGUAAAGGAUUUCCUACACUUCUCACACUCAUAGGGUUUUUCCCCUGUGUGCAUUCUGUGAUGUACCACAAGGUUUUUAUCCUGACUAAAGUCUUUUCUACACUCCCAAAUGCUGCUUUUAUUUUAUUUAUUUUAUUUUUUAUUUUUUGUAUUAAAUUCUUUUAUUGGUACAUUGUAGGUAUACCACACAAUUACAUUUCUCAUUGGGAAUUGUACCUUUAUAUAAUGCAUCUUGGUUCUUAUUUUUUCCCCAUUCCUAGCCCUCCCUUCACACCCUCCACCCUUCCCUAUUUAGAAAGACUUUAUUUCCAUUUUUUCCUUUUCUCAUCAUUUUUUCCUUUCCCUUCUUUCCUUUCCCCUGUGCCUCCCACUACCCCUACCCCUUUGGACCUUUUCUCCUAUUUUACAUUAUCGAUUAUUCAUUCUAAUCAUUGGUACAUUUUAGGUAUACAAUAUAAUGACAUUCAUCAUUGGAAAUUUGCACCUUUACAUAGUCUCCUUAUUUUUCACCCUUGCCCAGCCCUCCCUUCAACCCCUCCAGUCCUCCCUAUUUACAAAGAUUUUGUUCCUAUUUUUCCAUUUUCUCAUAUUAAUCCCAUUCCCUUCUAUCCUUUCCCCUAGCCCUCCCACUUCCUUCCCCUUUGCCCCUUUUCUUCCUAUUUCACCUGACCUAUUAUACAUUUAGUCCUUAUUUACACUUUCAGUUUCUCACACCAGAGAAACUACUCGGUAUUUAUACAUGUGUGUCCUAUUUAUUUCACUUAAGAGUAUUACCUCAAUGUGCAUCCACUUAGCUGCAAAUGUCUCUAAUUUCUUAUUUUUUAUGGCUGAGUAAUACUCCAUUUUAUAAAAAAUACAUAUAUUUUUAUAAAAAAUAUAUUUUUAAAAUUAAUUGUAUUGGUACAUUUUAGAUAUACAUAAUGAUAACAUUCAUCAUAUGGAAUUUGUACCUGUACAUGAUAUAUCUUGACUCUUCUUUUUUUCCCUUUCCCUCCCUUCCCUUCAAGCC
rnacentral:lncRNA from 1 species